rnacentral:rRNA from 1 species
GACGAACGCUGGCGGCGUGCUUAACACAUGCAAGUCGAACGGAAAGGCCCUGCUUUUGUGGGGUGCUCGAGUGGCGAACGGGUGUGUAACACGUGAGUAACCUGCCCUUUACUUUGGGAUAACUUCAGGAAACUGGGGCUAAUACCGUAUAGGAUCUCCUGCUGCAUGGUGGGGGUUGGUAAGUUUCGGCGGUUGGGGAUGGACUCGCGGCUUAUCAGCUUGUUGGUGGGGUAGUGGCUUACCAAGGCUUUGACGGGUAGCCGGCAUGAGAGGGUGAACGGCCACAUUGGGACUGAGAUACGGCCCAGACUGCUACGGGAGGCAGCAGUGGGGAAUAUUGCACAAUGGGAGGAAGCCUGAUGCAGCAACGCCGCGUGCGGGAUGACGGCCUUCGGGUUGUAAACAGCUUUCGCCUGUGACGAAGAGUGAGUGACGGUAAUGGGUAAAGAAGCACCGGCUAACUACGUG